AUGCUGACUUGGCAGGGGAGACAUCAAGAUCAGGAAGCUGGUUUUCUUAGUCCAUGCUCCCUGACUCCUGCGAUUUUCCCAAAUGUAGAAAAGUUGACUGUAUAAAUUUGUGGUAGUGGGAGACUGUUCACAUUCUGUCCCC
rnacentral:snRNA from 1 species